AGAAUCAACGCUGGCGGCGUGCCUAACACAUGCAAGUCGAACGAGAAAGUGGAGCAAUCCAUGAGUAAAGUGGCGCACGGGUGAGUAACACGUGACUAACCUACCCUUGAGUGGGGGAGUAACCUAAGAGAAAUCUGGGCGUAAUACCGCAUAAUACCUUCGGGUCAAAGGAGCAAUUCGCUUAAGGAGGGGUCGCGGCCGAUUAGUUAGUUGGCGGGGUAAUGGCCCACCAAGACUGUGAUCGGUA
rnacentral:rRNA from 1 species